rnacentral:rRNA from 1 species
CCUACGGGAGGCAGCAGUAGGGAAUAUUGGUCAAUGGGUGAGAGCCUGAACCAGCCAUGCCGCGUGCAGGAAGAAGGCCUUCUGGGUUGUAAACUGCUUUUACUAGGGGAUAAAACGACUGUGCGCAGUUAAUUGAAGGUACCUGGUGAAUAAGCCACGGCUAACUACGUGCCAGCGGCCGCGGUAAUACGUAGGUGGCAAGCGUUGUCCGGAUUUAUUGGGUUUAAAGGGUGCGUAGGCGGCCCUGUAAGUCAGUGGUGAAAUGCUCUAGCUUAACUAGAGAGGUGCCAAUGAUACUGCAGGGCUUGAGUACAGAUGAGGUAGGCGGAAUUGACGGUGUAGCGGUGAAAUGCAUAGAUAUCGUCAAGAACACCUAUAGCGAAGGCAGCUUACUGGGCUGUAACUGACGCUGAGGCACGAAAGUGUGGGGAUCAAACAGGAUUAGAUACCCUGGUAGUCCACACUGUAAACGUUGAUUACCCGCUGUUUGCGAUACACAGCAAGCGGCUUAGCGAAAGCGAUAAGUAAUCCACCUGGGGAGUACGCCGGCAACGGUGAAACUCAAAGGAAUUGACGG